GAAAUCUCCUCCAAUUCCAACCUCUUUUGGAACCAGUCCUUCUCAUUGACUCGUGUUCAGGCACUGAUCAAUUACACCAUUAACAACUUAAAGCAAGAGACUGGGGUUUUCGAGCUGCGAUGGAGAAACUCAUACCCAAUUCUGCCAAAAGCUGCUGAUGUGACUAGUUGCCGGGCGUGGUCUAAGUUCAAGAUUAACACUGUGUUUGAGAAGGGAGGAAAGUAGGUGG
rnacentral:misc_RNA from 1 species